CCUACGGGUGGCAGCAGUGAGGGAUAUUGGUCAAUGGGCGCGAGCCUGAACCAGCCAAGUCGCGUGAGGGAGGACGGCCCUACGGGUUGUAAACCUCUUUUGCCGGGGAGCAACGGGCGUCACGUGUGGCGCCACUGAGAGUACCCGGAGAAAAAGCAUCGGCUAACUCCGUGCCAGCAGCCGCGGUAAUACGGGGGAUGCAAGCGUUAUCCGGAUUUAUUGGGUUUAAAGGGUGCGUAGGCUGUGAGGUAAGUCAGCGGUGAAAUGCCCCCGCUCAACGGGGUGAAGUGCCAUUGAUACUGCCUUGCUGGAAUGCGGAUGCCGUGGGAGGAAUGUGUGGUGUAGCGGUGAAAUGCAUAGAUAUCACGCAGAACUCCGAUUGCGAAGGCAGCAUACCGGCGCCCAACUGACGCUGAAGCACGAAAGCGUGGGUAUCGAACAGGAUUAGAUACCCGGGUAGUC
rnacentral:rRNA from 1 species